rnacentral:lncRNA from 1 species
AUUGUUUACACGGACCACUCAGCCCUCAAGUAUUUGUUAGCAAAGAAAGAUGUCAAGCCUCGGUUAAUUAGAUGGGUCCUUCUUCUACAAGAGUUUGACUUGGAAAUUCACGAUAAAAAAGGGAUCGAAAAUAUUGUUGCCGAUCAUCUGUCUCGACUUGAGCAAACCAAAGAGGUGGUGGAUGGGGAGAUAAAUGAGGUAUUUCCCAAUGAACAACUCUUGCAAAUUAUGCAUCUUCUACAAGCCACCCAUAUACCAUAGUAUGCGGACCAUGUGAACUUUCUUGCUAGUGGCAUCAUUCUCCCGGAUCUCUCUUACCAACAAAGGAAGAAGUUCUUUGUCGACAUCAAGCAUUAUUUUUAGGACGAUCCUUUGUUGUUCAAACGGGGCCCGGAUCAAAUUAUUUGGAGAUGUGUGGCGGAAGAUGAAAUGGAGCAAAUCCUUAAACAAUGUCAUUCCUUACCCUAUGGUGGUCACUUCGGGGCCGUGAAAACCGCAUCAAAGGUACUUCAAUCCGAUUUUUAUUGGCCUACAUUAUUCAAAGAUGCUCACACUCUUGUCUCCAAGUGCGACAAAUGCCAACGCAUUGGUAAUAUAUUAGAGGUGGAAAUUUUUUAUGUAUGGGGUAUUGAUUUUAUGAGACAUUUUCCUCCAUCAUUCUCAAAUCAAUACAUAUUGGUAGCGGUUGAUUAUGUGUCAAAGUGGGUAGAAGCGAUGGCUUUGCCCACUAAUGAUGCUC